rnacentral:lncRNA from 1 species
ACAGAAGGAGUGAUAAGGUUGAAAAGUUCUGCAGGUCAGGCGUCUGGUGAGCUCAGCUGGUUCCUCUGGCCCAGGUUUCACAGGCUGAGAUCAAGUUGUUGGCAAGCUGGACUCUUAUCUGGAGGCUCUGAGAGGGAGGCUGUUUCCAAGCUCAUCCAGGCUGCUGACAGAAUUCAGUUAUUUGGGCUCAGGGCUGAGGUCUCUGUUUCCUUGCUGGCUGUCAGCCAGGAGCCUCUCUCAGCCUGAAUUCCUCACCACGUGGACCCUCCAUCUUCAAGCCAGCAACUUCCGGUUGAGUCUUCUUCAUGCUUUGAAUCUCUCUGAGUUCUGUUGCCUCUCUUCUGCCUCCAUCUGGAGAAAUUUCUCUGCUCUCAAGGGCUUGUGUGAUGUGAUUAAAUCCAACUGGAUAGGACAAUCCAGGCUAAUCUUUCUGUCUUAGGUCUGUAAACUUAAUUAUAUCUACAAAGUCCCUUUUGCCAGGUAAAGUAUAUUAGUUAGUAUUCUCUGGAUAAAUAAGCAAUGGGAUAUACAUCUAUGUCUAUCUCUACUGAUGUAUAUCUCUGUGUAUGUAUUUAUAUAUGUAUGUAUGUAUGUAUGUAUCUAACAUUUGCCAAAGUCCUUAGAACCAGGGAAGCAGAUGGUAUAAAUUCCAGUUCUAUGGCCUCAGUCAGUGAGACAGAAAAAAGGAGCAAAUUCCUCUUUCCUCUGCCUUUUGUUUCAUUCCUGCCCUCAAUGGAUUGGAUGAUGCACACCCAUAUUGGAGAGGGGAAUCUACCUUACUGAGCUCAUCCAUUCAAAUGCUAAUAUCAUCCAGGAAUACCCUCACAGACACAGAAAUAUUGUUUAAUUUGGACACACCAUGGCCAGUCAAGGUGAAAUAACCAUCAUGAGGUAAUAUAUUUAUUGGUUCCAGGGGUUAGGGUGUGAAACUUUGGAGGUCCAUUCUGCCUACCACACCAUACAAAGGCUCCACUAUUUGGUUUGCCUCGUGCCUGCCUCAAUUCUAGAGUGGGAAUAUGAUGUUUUCGUCUUUUGGAACAUCUGUAGUAAGAAUUAUUUACCACUUAUUAAAUUAUAAAUGAACAUAUUCAAUCAUAGCAAAAUUAGAGUGAAGAGCCCAAAGAAAUCCAUCUAUCCAUUAUCCAACUUCAACAAUAAUCCAUAUUUGCCAGUUGUAAGACACCUAUUUGCUCAGACAGUGAUUUUUUUUUUGUUUCAAUAUAUCCUUUGGUGGAAGAAAAUGUCUUAUUUGCGAAGACUAAGCUUCAUUUUGGCAGCGGCAGGGGGUGGGGGGAUUGUAGUAGUUUUAUAUAAUGCAAAUAACAGAAAACAUUUACUUUUUCUUCCUUCUUUUUUUUUACUAGAAUAUAGUUGAUUUAUAGUGUUGUAUCAAUUUCUGCUGUAUAAUAUAGUGACCUAAUCAUACAUAUAUGUGUACAUUCUUUUUCUCAUACUAUCUUCCAUCAUGUUCUAUCCCAAGGUACUGGAUAUGGUUCCCUGUGCUGUACAGUAGGACCUCAUUGCUUAUCCAUUCUAAAUGUAAUAGUUUGCAUCUACUGGACUUUCUGUUGUGGCUCAGAGGGUUAAGAACCCUACUAGUAACCAUGAGGAUGAAGGUUUGAUUCCUGGUUUUGCUCAGUGGGUUAAGAAUCUGGCAUUGCCACAAGCUCUGAUGUAGGUGGCAGAUGUGGCUCAGAUCCUGUGUUUCUAUGGCUGUGGUAGGCUGACAGCUGCAGCUCUGAUUUGACCCCUAGCCUGGGAACUUCCAUGUGCCCUAAAUGGAAAACCGUUUGCUCUACCAAAAGUAUGGCACAAAUGAAUCUAUUUACAAAAGAGAAACAGACUCAAGGACAUAGAGAACAGACUUGUGGUUCAUGGGGGAAGAGGUAGGAAAAUGUUGAUAUUUUAACAAAGUAAGAAGAAUACUAGUUCCUUCCUCUCAUUUGGUGGAUGGAAAAUAACUUUGGAGUAUUAAAGUCUUGUCUAAUUUACAUAAUUACCAUUAUGAUUCAUGGACAUUUUGUAUUAAUUGUCUCACAGUAUAGGAUUCCCUUAUUUCAUUCUUGUCUGUUACAUAAGGGAAAGCUGAAUGAAAGGGAAUGGGAGAGGUAGUAGCUCUUCUCGGAGAAUUUAAGAAAUAAAAACUCAGGUUGCACAACAUUUCUGCUCCCCUCGCUUUUCUCUUGAUGCCAAGCACUGGGUAUUUGCAGCGCAAGUUAUAAUAGAACUUAUUUAAGAAGAUAUUUUACUAUAAUAACAUGAAUCAUUGCCAUCAUUGGACAAUUUGGGGGUAUAAAUAGACAAAAAUCCAUGGAUAAUCCAAAAAUAACAUUUCCGCAUUUGCAAUGUGUUUUCAUAACGUAUUUAACUGAGCAUGUGCUGAUGUUCUGGGAAUUUAGUUGGAACAGAAUAAUAAAGUACAGCAUAAACUCUGGCUUCAGUCUGUGGACACCUGGCUCUGAGAGUGGUGGAAGAGAUUUCUCUUUCCAAGUGUUUUCCUAUGAAGUGGAAAAUCAUGCCCAACUGUUUUGUUGAAAAGAGCUCCUCUCUAUGCAAACAUUUUUUUUAGAUUAAACUACAUAUGAAACAUUGUUUAGAGAAUCAUCUUCCAAUUUAU